AAAACUGGGGCCUAAUCCAAAGCCCAUUGAAAUCAAUGGGAGGCUUUCCUUUGACUUCAGUAGGCUUUGGAUGAGGCUCUAGAUUU
rnacentral:pre_miRNA from 1 species